GCAACUGACUGACUACACAUGGAUCAACUUCUUGAAACAAUAUGUGCCAAGGAGAAACCAACCAAUAAGAACAAACAUGAAAAUCAACAGGUAAGUAAGGAAAGUCCCUCCUCCAAAGAUGAGUCCUAAACCAAGCACAACGAGAGGCGGUAAAUAGGUUUUAACCAUAGCUGUUCUAUUUACCCAACGUCCCUUGAGAAAAAUGAAAAUGGCCAGGUUGACUACAUUCCAUCCACCAGACUGAAACCCCAGCCUGUUCAAACCAUUAGCUACAAAAGAGUGGCAGUUGCAAGUGAAAAUGCUGUAAGAUUGGUGUUGGAAUUCUUGAAUGCUCUUUCUUAUGGCAGAUUCCCACGUGUCAACAUUACCUCCAGAUUCAUCAUGGUUCUCGACAUAUUCACCCGUAGGUUCAGCUGAAUAAGGAGAAAGGCAGCAGCACUGCUCUCUGCUUAAUUGGAAAUAGCAAGUUGGUGCCCCAAAUGUGAAAUUGUCAACAGAAACAAAGUUUGGCCCUGCAAAGUCCAAGAUCACGCCAUCCUCCCUACAAAUCCCUAUAUGCCCAAUAAAGGGGAUAAACCAAGACAGGACAGGAAGUGGUGACCAUACAAUGCAGCACGGAAAACGGUCUCUUUUUGGAUCAAUCAGCAUUGGAUUCGGAUAAUUUUCUUCAAUCAUCAGAGCAUGAUCUGCAUCUACCUCAGGAACCAUGACCAGAGCAUAAAUAACUAGCAUAAGAACAAAACAUCCAAAAUUAUUAUAAUUCAUAUACGAUUGUCAUAGUGUAUGUCCA
rnacentral:misc_RNA from 1 species